rnacentral:rRNA from 1 species
GGAAUCCUUGCUGCAUGGUGGGGGUUGGAAAGCUUCGGCGGUUUUGGAUGGACUCGCGGCUUAUCAGCUUGUUGGUGGGGUAGUGGCUUACCAAGGCUUUGACGGGUAGCCGGCCUGAGAGGGCGACCGGCCACAUUGGGACUGAGAUACGGCCCAGACUCCUACGGGAGGCAGCAGUGGGGAAUAUUGCACAAUGGGCGGAAGCCUGAUGCAGCAACGCCGCGUGCGGGAUGACGGCCUUCGGGUUGUAAACCGCUUUCAGCAGGGGCGAAGCUUGUGGUGACGGUACCUGCAGAAGAAGCACCGGCUAACUACGUGCCAGCAGCCGCGGUGAUACGUAGGGUGCGAGCGUUGUCCGGAUUUAUUGGGCGUAAAGAGCUCGUAGGUGGUUGAUUGCGUCGGAAGUGAAAACUUGGGGCUUAACCCUGAGCGUGCUUUCGAUACGGGUUGACUUGAGGAAGGUAGGGGAGAAUGGAAUUCCUGGUGGAGCGGUGGAAUGCGCAGAUAUCAGGAGGAACACCAGUGGCGAAGGCGGUUCUCUGGACCUUUCCUGACGCUGAGGAGCGAAAGCGUGGGGAGCGAACAGGCUUAGAUACCCUGGUAGUCCACGCUGUAAACGGUGGGGACUAGGUGUGGGGUCCAUUCCACGGAUUCCGUGCCGUAGCUAACGCAUUAAGUACCCCGCCUGGGGAGUACGGCCGCAAGGCUAAAACUCAAAGGAAUUGACGGGGCCCCGCACAAGCGGCGGAGCAUGCGGAUUAAUUCGAUGCAACGCGAAGAACCUUACCUGGGUUUGACAUGGACUGGGAGUGCUCAGAGAUGGGUAUGCCUCCUUGUGGGGCUGGUUCACAGGUGGUGCAUGGCUGUCGUCAGCUCGUGUCGUGAGAUGUUGGGUUAAGUCCCGCAACGAGCGCAACCC